GUGACAUUUAAAACGGCUAAAUGGAUUUGUACGAAAGUUGCUAUAGAUCUCUUGGAUGACUCGUCUCAAGAGACUUGAUGGAACUCCCUGUACCUGGCUGUGGAGAGGAUCGCAAUGAGAAAGGGGAAGGAUCCAUUAUGAACGUUUAUGCUGAAUUUAAAAUAAAAAUAAUAUUUUAUUAAAAUCAUGUAAACUGACGGGUUGAAUCCCGUGGAGCUGGCAUUCCUGACAAAGUACGAUGUCAUAAUGAAACCCAUGACCAAGGCACUGGACAUCUUAAAAUCUGAGAAAAAUAUGCAGGUGGAGUGGCUACUGCCUACAAUCUACUUCCUGUGAUAAAGCUUAGAAAGAUCAAGCUCUGUAUAACACUUGUAAGUGCUGUAGAAUCUGGUAUCAAGAACCGCUUUGGCCACAUGAUGGAAGAUGCAGAGCCGAUUCCUGCACGGUUCAAGACUGCACGGAUCAAUGAUGAUAGAAUCAUCAAAAAAGGUGAAGAAAUUCCAGAGUUACAACCAGUUUCUGGAACAAUGAAAACUCACCAAGUCUUCACACAAAUACUUGAUACUAUUUCCUGUAGAAUCCUGAGUUGUUA